rnacentral:rRNA from 1 species
CACGUAGGGUGCGAGCGUUGUCCGGAAUUAUUGGGCGUAAAGAGCUCGUAGGCGGUGUGUCGCGUCGGCCGUGAAAACCUGCAGCUUAACUGUGGGCUUGCGGUCGAUACGGGCAUGACUGGAGUUCGGCAGGGGAGACUGGAAUUCCUGGUGUAGCGGUGAAAUGCGCAGAUAUCAGGAGGAACACCGGUGGGCGAAGGCGGGUCUCUGG